UACAGAGGUGGCAAGCGUUGUUCGGAAUUACUGGGCGUAAAGAGCUCGUAGGCGGUUCCGUAAGUCGAGUGUGAAGAAUCUGGGCUCAACCCGGUGGAGCACUCGAUACUGCGGUGACUAGAGUACGGUAGAGGAGUGUGGAAUUCCUGGUGUAGCGGUGAAAUGCGCAGAUAUCAGGAGGAACACCAACGGCGAAGGCAGCACUCUGGGCCGGUACUGACGCUGAGGAGCGAAAGCGUGGGGAGCAAACAGG
rnacentral:rRNA from 1 species